UACGGAGGGGGCUAGCGUUGUUCGGAAUUACUGGGCGUAAAGCGCACGUAGGCGGAUUAGUAAGUCAGAGGUGAAAUCCCAGGGCUCAACCUUGGAACUGCCUUUGAUACUGCUAGUCUAGAGUUCGAGAGAGGUGAGUGGAAUUCCGAGUGUAGAGGUGAAAUUCGUAGAUAUUCGGAGGAACACCAGUGGCGAAGGCGGCUCACUGGCUCGAUACUGACGCUGAGGUGCGAAAGCGUGGGGAGCAAACAGG
rnacentral:rRNA from 1 species